ensembl:snRNA U6 U6 spliceosomal RNA
GUGCUUGCUUCGGCAGCACAUAUACUAAAAAUUGGAACAUACAGAGAAGAUUAGCAUGGCCCCUGCACAAGGAUGACAUGCAAAUUCGUGAAGUGUUCCAUAUUUUU